AACGGGGGGGCAAGCGUUAUUCGUCUUUACUGGGCGUAAAGCGUGCGCAGGCGGUGAUGUAAGACAGAUGUGAAAUCCCCGGGCUCAACCUGGGAACUGCAUUUGUGACUGCAUCGCUGGAGUGCGGCAGAGGGGGAUGGAAUUCCGCGUGUAGCAGUGAAAUGCGUAGAUAUGCGGAGGAACACCGAUGGCGAAGGCAAUCCCCUGGGCCUGCACUGACGCUCAUGCACGAAAGCGUGGGGAGCAAACAGG
rnacentral:rRNA from 1 species